rnacentral:rRNA from 1 species
UACAGAGGUCUCAAGCGUUGUUCGGAUUUAUUGGGCGUAAAGCGCGCGUAGGCGGCGCGGUAUGUCGUGCGUGAAAUCUCCCGGCUUAACUGGGAGGGGCCGUGCGAAACUGCCGGGCUUGAGGUCGGAAGGGGAAAGUGGAAUUCCGGGUGUAGUGGUGGAAUACGUAGAUAUCCGGAGGAACACCAGCGGCGAAGGCGGCUUUCUGGUCCGAUACUGACGCUGAGGUGCGAAAGCGUGGGGAGCGAUCCGG